rnacentral:rRNA from 1 species
CAGUAGCCACGGGAAUACGGAGGGUGCAAGCGUUAAUCGGAAUUACUGGGCGUAAAGCGCACGCAGGCGGUCUGUCAAGUCAGAUGUGAAAUCCCCGGGCUUAACCUGGGAACUGCAUUUGAAACUGGCAGGCUAGAGUCUUGUAGAGGGGGGUAGAAUUCCAGGUGUAGCGGUGAAAUGCGUAGAGAUCUGGAGGAAUACCGAUGGCGAAGGCAGCCAUCUGGCCUAAUACUGACGCUGAGGUACGAAAGCAUGGGGAGCAAACAGGAUUAGAUACCCCGGUAGUCCCUGUCUCUUAUAC